CCUACGGGGGGCAGCAGUGAGGAAUAUUGGUCAAUGGACGAGAGUCUGAACCAGCCAAGUAGCGUGAAGGAUGACUGCCCUAUGGGUUGUAAACUUCUUUUAUAUGGGAAUAAAACGUUCCACGUGUGGGAUUUUGUAUGUACCAUAUGAAUAAGGAUCGGCUAACUCCGUGCCAGCAGCCGCGGUAAUACGGAGGAUCCGAGCGUUAUCCGGAUUUAUUGGGUUUAAAGGGAGCGUAGGUGGAUUGUUAAGUCAGUUGUGAAAGUUUGCGGCUCAACCGUAAAAUUGCAGUUGAAACUGGCAGUCUUGAGUUCAGUAGAGGUGGGCGGAAUUCGUGGUGUAGCGGUGAAAUGCUUAGAUAUCACGAAGAACUCCGAUUGCGAAGGCAGUUCACUGGACUGCAACUGACACUGAGGCUCGAAAGUGUGGGUAUCAAACAGGAUUAGAUACCCUUGUAGUC
rnacentral:rRNA from 1 species